rnacentral:rRNA from 1 species
GACGAACGCUGGCGGCGUGCUUAACACAUGCAAGUCGAACGGAAAGGCCCUGCUUGCAGGGUGCUCGAGUGGCGAACGGGUGAGUAACACGUGGGCGAUCUGCCCCUUACUUUGGGAUAAGCCUGGGAAACUGGGUCUAAUACUGGAUAGGACCAUGCUGUAGGUGGUGUGGUGGAAAGAUUAGUUUCGGUAAGGGAUGAGCUCGCGGCCUAUCAGCUUGUUGGUGGGGUAAUGGCCUACCAAGGCGUCGACGGGUAGCCGGCCUGAGAGGGUGGACGGCCACAUUGGGACUGAGAUACGGCCCAGACUCCUACGGGAGGCAGCAGUGGGGAAUAUUGCACAAUGGGCGCAAGCCUGAUGCAGCGACGCCGCGUGGGGGAUGACGGCCUUCGGGUUGUAAACUCCUUGCAGCCAUGACGAAGCCCUUGUGGUGACGGUAGUGGUAGAAGAAGCACCGGCUAACUACGUG